GCGUUCUGUUAUCUAAGACAUUAUCCAGGGAAGACAGCUUUGGACAGCUAUUACCAUUUAAUAUAUAACAGAUUACUGGAUUAAUGUGUUCUUCUGUGCUUGUUUGUCUCUCUUGCUGUGUUUCUGCUCUGUCUUCUGUAACCCCCAGUCGGUCGAGGCAGAUGACCGUUCAUACUGAGCCUGGUUCUGCUGGAGGUUUUCCUUCCCGUUAAUGGGGAGUUUUUCUUCCCACGUUGGGAUUUUGAUGGAAUCAAUUGGUUCCCUUAUAUAGGAAAUUGUUCGACCAAUCUGUAUAACCUGACCCAAUCUGUAUAAUAUGACUGAACUUGACUUUGUAAAGUGCCUUGAGAUGACAUGUUUCAUGAAUUGGCGGUAUAUAAAUAAAUUGAAUUAAAUUGAAUUGAACUACCGAUCAGGAAUAGGAAGGUCAGUUGAAAAUCAAACAUGUUUGAAAUUCAGUCGGCCCUCGUGAGUGAUUGUGAGUGAUUGUGAGUGAUCGUGAUCGCGUCCUGCUGUUGAAGCGGAGUUACGACCGUCUUCGAGCCGAUUUCCCCCGACCUCGCGCACUACGCACGUGCAAACAGGUAAAUUUUUCUUCGUAUUCUCAGACGAAAACAUAGGAGCGGGAGAAGCAUGACCGCGGUACGUGUACAGAGGAGUAACUUGUAGAAUUGCCAAGGCAGCGCGUUUUGUUCUGGUAAGCCUCAUAUUUAACAGUGAGCUUCCACACUUCCGCCUUUUCUUCUUCUACUGCUGACAUUUGGCUUCCCGGUAGACCAGUCCAAGCAGCGCCAUCUCUCUACGGGGCUGAGUCCGACGUGUGGUUUUUGAACGCACUGUGUGAGCAUUUAGGUCGCAUCCGAGUGUCGGGCCACACAGUGUAAGAACAGAGAUGGAGAGCUGUGAACUUUUAAAGCCUGCUGUUUCGUCAUACAGUUUGAGCUGUAUAUGAGUACCACGAUUGAAUAUAUCGUACAGUGUAUGCCCGGCAUAAGAUCAAGUCAUAGGUGCCCUUAGUGAGUCUAUAAAAACAAAACUAAUAAAAUCUGGGCCAUUGGAGGUGACCUUGGAAGGAGGACUAGAACAGAACAACAAAGAGCAACUUAGCAAAAAGGUCAGGGGGCUAGAACCUGGGCCCAGAAACUGGAAUGUGACGCUGGGCUAUGGAGGAUUGAACCCCAGACAGGACACCGUGGUGGAGCUCUGGAGGGCAACUGGAAGACCUGGAGAUCCCUUGAUGCAGCCCUGGAUAGCAGCGUGGAAGCUGGUGGAUCCCUCAAUGAAGCCAUGGAGAGUGGGGUGGAAGACUGUAGAUACCUCCACAAUGCCAUGGAGCAUGGCCUGAAAGCUGGUAGAUUCCUCCAUGGAGCCCUGGAGAGAGAGGAGAAAACCAGUAGUCCCCUCGCUAGAGCGCUAGACAUGAGGUGGUCCCAACUGGACACCCUCGUCGGAGAACUUUUAAUCAGUAAAACAAAGCGGUUACCCCUUGAAGAACUUAGAUCAGGAAAAGAACGCUGGUGUGAAGUUGAAGAUUGGGAAUGCUGAUGGUGAUGAAAGGUCCAGAUAUAUGGAUGGCAGUGAUGAACAUGGAAUGACCGUGAGUUUAGAAGGUAACAAAGAUGGCAGAGUUAGGACUGUGGAAGGCAAUGACCGUGACUGAGCAAGGAGUAUAGAUGGCAAAUAAGACGAAGAACAUGGCAAGGAAGAUGAUGAUGAUGACUGAGCCAUGAAGGUAGACGGUAAAGACGAAGAUCAUGACUGAGCCAGGAGUGCAGAUUGUGUCUAGAUUGUUGGGCUCUGAGGCGACAAUGAAUGAACUCUGGAGCACUGAGGAGUGGAGUCUGGGGUGACGAUAAGUUGACACUAUGAAGCGACACGAAGUCUUGGGCUCUCAUGCAGUAGAUCAAUGGGUCUGAUCAAAAGCAGAGAACUUGGCAGAGCAUGGACAGCUCUGCUGAUAUGGACGGUCAGAAAGGAAAGUUCCAGACCAUUUGAUCCUCCUCACCAUGAAUGUCUUAUGGUGUCAACGGUGUUUGUGGUGCGAGGAUGAAGCAGCGGCAGGCGUCAACUGGACCCCUGAAAGCAGAGACAUUAGACAGACCCUAGGCAGCAGGUAGAGAAGCACUGGACAGAUUCUCAGCAGCAGGAAGGAAAGAUAUCCAUUCACCCAGACAACUCAGAAUGAAUAGCCACAUCUAAUCUCAAAUAGUGAACUAAGACCUUUGAGGAGCUGCUCAUCAAUAUCCAUACUGAUGUUGGACUUCUUGAAGCUUCUGUCUGCUUGAUCCAAGUUCUGACUUGAUUCCUGUGUCGUCGUGAGAGGAGGAAAAGCUGGACCAACUUGCUGACAGGUACUUGGGAGGAGCGUUGUGUUGAAGUGGUUUUGAUGAAAAUUGUAAAAAUACAUAAACUUCCAAUCUGGCAGAAGGAGAACAGAGCUUUUACAAAGGACUGGACAGAAACAAGGAAACAGGCAUAUUUACAGUAGGAUCACUUGGAGUGCAAAAGAAAGCGGUAAGUAUACUCUGAGGAAGAGAGGAGACAUGACAGGCAAAAUAGAAGGACUGAUAAGGAUAGAUGAGCUGCAGCUGAAGGAGAGAAAAUGCUGAACAUUCAGGGGAUGUGUAAAGUGGCUGAGACAAAGUAAAAGAAUGGUGAAGAGGACGGAAAAGGGUAAAUAAUCCUGAAUGGAGCUGAACAAGAAAUCCUGAGGAAAAUGUCAAACGAGGAUCUAGUAAGAAACAACAUACAUGUCAAAGGAUUACAAAAGAACACAAAAGAAUGAACUAAAGGAAUACACUACACAAUAAAUAGCGUAAUAAAAGCACAUAUAUGGCAACACCUUGCAUACAAUAAUGAAGAGAGAACAGAACCAGAUAAGGCUAGACCUAGCAUUAAAUAAUUAUCAAACGAAGACAAAGAAAAUCAAAAUACAAACACCAACAAAACAUGACAUUAAUAUUGGAAUCAGACAUCUUUAAACCUUAUAUAACAGGCAAUAGCCUUGUAGGGGCAUUUCUGACAAUUGCUUGGUGUUUAGGGUUUUUAGCUGUCAUGGGAACUAAUUUUAGAAUAAGAACUUCAAACCCUACAUGCCAGGCAAUGAGAAUGGGUUGGUAUUUAGUGCCUUUGCAGGUCAUGUGGGAAAUACAGAUGUCUGGUUCCUCCAUUUACUACCAUUAUAUCUGUAUUCCCCACAUGCCAGGUAAUGCCCCUAGUUGAGCUUUUUGUGUUAUUGCCUGGCAUGUGGUGCUUACAGCUGUCAUGGUUACUAAUGCUGGAACCAUACAUCUGCAGGCCCCACAUGCCAGAUGAUGAGUGUUGGUCAGGUUUGGUAUUUUGUGUUGUUGUGUUUAGUAGCAUGUGGGGCAUCUAAAUGUCUGGUUCCUCCGUUGGCCACCAUCAUAUUUUUAUGCCCACAUACUAAGGAUUGAGCCUGGAUGGGUGUUUUGUGCUGUUGUCUUGCAUGUGGGGCUUACAGUUGUCAUGGUCACUAAUACUAGAACCACACAGCUAAAUGCUCCACGUGUCAGACAAUGAGCCUGGGUGAAUGUUUUCGCUGUUGCUUGGUAUGUGUGUUAUUGUGUUACAAUGUUUGAGCCUGGGUGGGCGUGUCUUGCUGUGGCCUGGCAUAUGGGGUGUACAGAUGUUAUUGUGCCUCAGUGUUGGCUCCAGACAUGAGUACACCCCAUAGGCCAGGCAAUGAAACUGGGUGAGUUUUAGAAUAAGAGCUUCAAACCCUGCAUGCCAGGCAAUGAGAAUGGGUUGGUGUUUAGUGCCUCUGCAGGUCAUGUGGGAAAUACAGAUGUCUGGUUCCUCCAUUUACUACCAUUAUAUCUGUAUUCCCCACAUGCCAGGUAAUGCCCCUAGUUGAGCUUUUUGUGUUAUUGCCUGGCAUGUGGUGCUUACAGCUGUCAUGGUUACUAAUGCUGGAACCAUACAUCUGCAGGCCCCACAUGCCAGAUGAUGAGCCAGGGUUAGUAUUUUGUGUUGUUGUGUUUAGUAGCAUGUGGGGCAUCUAAAUGUCUGGUUCCUCCAUUGGCCACCAUGAUAGUUUUAUGCCCAUAUGCUAGGGAUUCAGAAUGGAUGGGUGUGUUGUGCUGUUGUUUUAUCACUUUAUUUUAGAUCUA